GCAAGUCGAACGAGACAUUCGGGUCUAGUGGCGCACGGGUGCGUAACGCGUGGGAAUCUGCCCUUGGGUUCGGAAUAACUCGCCGAAAGGCGUGCUAAUACCGGAUGAUGUCGAAAGACCAAAGAUUUAUCGCCCAGGGAUGAGCCCGCGUAAGAUUAGCUAGUUGGUGAGGUAAAGGCUCACCAAGGCGACGAUCUUUAGCUGGUCUGAGAGGAUGAUCAGCCACACUGGGACUGAGACACGGCCCAGACUCCUACGGGAGGCAGCAGUGGGGAAUAUUGGACAAUGGGCGAAAGCCUGAUCCAGCAAUGCCGCGUGAGUGAUGAAGGCCUUAGGGUUGUAAAGCUCUUUUACCCGGGAUGAUAAUGACAGUACCGGGAGAAUAAGCUCCGGCUAACUCCGUGCCAGCAGCCGCGGUAAUACGGAGGGAGCUAGCGUUGUUCGGAAUUACUGGGCGUAAAGCGCACGUAGGCGGCUUUGUAAGUCAGAGGUGAAAGCCUGGAGCUCAACUCCAGAACUGCCUUUGAGACUGCAUCGCUUGAAUCCAGGAGAGGUGAGUGGAAUUCCGAGUGUAGAGGUGAAAUUCGUAGAUAUUCCGGAAGAACACCAGUGGCGAAGGCGGCUCACUGGACUGGUAUUGACGCUGAGGUGCGAAAGCGUGGGGAGCAAACAGG
rnacentral:rRNA from 1 species